GAUGAACGCUGGCGGCGUGCUUAACACAUGCAAGUCGAACGGAAAGGCUCCUGCUUGCAGGGGUACUCGAGUGGCGAACGGGUGAGUAACACGUGGGUGAUCUGCCCUGCACUUCGGGAUAAGCCUGGGAAACUGGGUCUAAUACCGGAUAGGACGAUGGUUUGGAUGCCAUUGUGGAAAGUUUUUCGGUGUGGGAUGAGCUCGCGGCCUAUCAGCUUGUUGGUGGGGUAAUGGCCUACCAAGGCGUCGACGGGUAGCCGGCCUGAGAGGGUGUACGGCCACAUUGGGACUGAGAUACGGCCCAGACUCCUACGGGAGGCAGCAGUGGGGAAUAUUGCACAAUGGGCGCAAGCCUGAUGCAGCGACGCCGCGUGGGGGAUGACGGCCUUCGGGUUGUAAACUCCUUUCGCUAGGGACGAGGCGCAAGUGACGGUACCUGGAGAAGAAGCACCGGCUAACUACGUG
rnacentral:rRNA from 1 species